UGGAACCUUAAAAUUUGAUUCAAUUAAGCAACUUUGUGGUCUUCUAGCUCUCCCCAUGUGCACUACAUUGAAAGCCCCGAAAACGACGUGCAACAAAGGAGAUUGGCAGCCACGAAAAUAAUGAGUAGUAGAUACAAUGAAUGAAGGACGUCAGUCCAGCUGCAACAAAUGGAGGAUGGCGAUGGUGGUCCAACAACAAUGAACGAGGAUAUCAAUUCCAAUUUUAAAACAAACACAUAACAUGAUGGUGAUGGUUGUCCGACAUCAAUGUACUUUUUUUUGUCUAUCUUUAGAAACUCACAACGUUAAAAAAAACUCUUUAAAAGACCCAUCAAUUAAAAAAAAGAUGGGUAGAUUAUGGCUAAAGGUGGACGGUGUGUAGAACACGACUGAAGUAGAAGGCUGGCGGUACAGCCAUAACAAGAAAUCGAUAGUGGUACGAGUGGAGCGUAGAUCAAGGCAUCAUUUGCAUCAUCUCAAUGCAUGGAAUCAUCGAGUAAGUGGUACUUAGGGACACUUCACUGUUAGGAGCAUUCGCAUGUGUUGUAUUCCAAUUUUCAUUGUAAUUUCUUUUAAAAGUUGUUCAAACCCAUUGUAAAUUUGUAAUGAUUUUUAAUACUAUGGUUGGUGUUGUCUUU